UAGGGAAUCUUCCGCAAUGGGCGAAAGCCUGACGGAGCAACGCCGCGUGAGUGAUGAAGGUCUUCGGAUCGUAAAACUCUGUUAUUAGGGAAUAACAAAUGUGUAAGUAACUAUGCACGUCUUGACGGUACCUAAUCAGAAAGCCACGGCUAACUACGUGCCAGCAGCCGCGGUAAUACGUAGGUGGCAAGCGUUAUCCGGAAUUAUUGGGCGUAAAGCGCGCGUAGGCGGUUUUUUAAGUCUGAUGUGAAAGCCCACGGCUCAACCGUGGAGGGUCAUUGGAAACUGGAAAACUUGAGUGCAGAAGAGGAAAGUGGAAUUCCAUGUGUAGCGGUGAAAUGCGCAGAGAUAUGGAGGAACACCAGUGGCGAAGGCGACUUUCUGGUCUGUAACUGACGCUGAUGUGCGAAAGCGUGGGGAUCAAACAGG
rnacentral:rRNA from 1 species